rnacentral:rRNA from 1 species
CGAUGUCGGCUCAUCUCAGCGCGGGGCUGAAGAAGGUCCCAAGCGUAUGGCUGUUCGCCAUUUAAAGAGGUACGUGAGCUGGGUUCAAACCGUCGUGAGAC